AGGGAAUAUUGGGCAAUGGAAGCAAUUCUGACCCAGCCAUGCCGCGUGAAGGAAUACAGCGCUAUGGGUUUUAAACUUCUUUUAUUAUAGAGUAAACGGAGGUACGUGUACCUCCCUGCAAGUAUAUGAUGAAUAAGGAUCGGCUAACUCCGUGCCAGCAGCCGCGGUAAUACGGAGGAUCCGAGCGUUAUCCGGAUUUAUUGGGUUUAAAGGGUGCGUAGGUGGAUUGAUAAGUCAGUGGUGAAAGUUUGCAGCUUAACUGUAAAAUUGCCGUUGAAACUGUCGGUCUUGAGUGCAAAUGAGGUAGGCGGAAUGCGUCGUGUAGCGGUGAAGUGCUUAGAUAUGACGCAGAACUCCGAUUGCGAAGGCAGCUUACUGGGAUGCAACUGACACUGAGGCACGAAAGCGUGGGUAUCAAAC
rnacentral:rRNA from 1 species